rnacentral:rRNA from 1 species
AGCCUGAACGCUGGCGGCGUGGCUAAGACAUGCAAGUCGCACGGGGUAGCAAUACCCAGUGGCGAACGGGAGAGUAAUGAAUCGCUAAUGUACCCCGGACUCUGGGAUAGCUACCCGAAAGGGUAGGUAAUACCAGAUGAUAUAACCGCACGGCAUCGUGUGGUUCUCAAAGGUCCGCCGGUCUGGGAGCAGGCGAUUUCGUAUCAGCUAGUUGGUGGGGUAACGGCUCACCAAGGCGACGACGCGUAGCCGGACUGAGAGGUUGGCCGGCCUCAUUGGGACUGAGACACUGCCCAGACUCCUACGGGGGGCUGCAGUAACGAAUCUUCCGCAAUGCACGAAAGUGUGACGGAGCGACGCCGCGUGUGGGACGAAGCCCUUCGGGUGUAAACCACUGUCAGGGGUUACCAAGUUCUGAGAGCCCCAGAGGAAGGCACGGCUAACUCUGUGCCAGCCAGCCGC